rnacentral:rRNA from 1 species
GACGAACGCUGGCGGCGUGCUUAACACAUGCAAGUCGAACGGAAAGGCCCUGCACUUGUGGGGUGCUCGAGUGGCGAACGCGUGAGUAACACGUGAGUAACCUGUCCUUUUCUUUGGGAUAACUUCUGUAAACUCGGGCUCUUAUCCCAUAUGAGCUCUUUCUGCACGGUUGGUGUUGUAAAGUUUCGGCGGUUGGUGAUGGACUCGCGGCUUCUCAGCUUGUUGGUGGGGUAGUGGCUUACCAAGGCAUUGACGGGUAGCCGGCCUGAGAGGGUGACCGGCCACAUUGGGACUGAGAUACGGCCCAGACUCCUACGGGAGGCAGCAGUGGGAAAUAUUGCACAAUGGGCGGAAGCCUGAUGCAGCAACGCCGCGUGCGGGAUGACGGCCUUCGGGUUGUAAACCGCUUUCGCCUGUGACGAAGAGUGAGUGACGGUAAUGGGUAAGGAAGCAACGGCUAACUACGUG